rnacentral:rRNA from 1 species
AUUGAACGCUGGCGGCAGGCCUAACACAUGCAAGUCGAGCGGAUGAGUGGAGCUUGCUCCAUGAUUCAGCGGCGGACGGGUGAGUAAUGCCUAGGAAUCUGCCUGGUAGUGGGGGACAACGUUUCGAAAGGAACGCUAAUACCGCAUACGUCCUACGGGAGAAAGCAGGGGACCUUCGGGCCUUGCGCUAUCAGAUGAUCCUAGGUCGGAUUAGCUAGUAGGUGAGGUAAAGGCUCACCUAGGCGACGAUCCGUAACUGGUCUGAGAGGAUGAUCAGUCACACUGGAACUGAGACACGGUCCAGACUCCUACGGGAGGCAGCAGUGGGGAAUAUUGGACAAUGGGCGAAAGCCUGAUCCAGCCAUGCCGCGUGUGUGAAGAAGGUCUUCGGAUUGUAAAGCACUUUAAGUUGGGAGGAAGGGCAGUAAGUUAAUACCUUGCUGUUUUGACGUUACCAACAGAAUAAGCACCGGCUAACUCUGUGCCAGCCGCCGCCGUAAAAC